rnacentral:misc_RNA from 1 species
UCACUACUUGCGUAGGCAGUCUGGCUAGAGUUCCCGACCGAAUCGCUGGCAACUAGGGACAAGGGUUGCGCUCGUUACGGGACUUAACCCAACAUCUCACGACACGAGCUGACGACAGCCAUGCAGCACCUGUCACUCGGUUCCCGAAGGCACCAAUCCAUCUCUGGAAAGUUCCGAGGAUGUCAAGCCCUGGUAAGGUUCUUCGCGUUGCGUCGAAUUAAACCACAUGCUCCACCGCUUGUGCGGGCCCCCGUCAAUUCAUUUGAGUUUUAACCUUGCGGCCGUACUCCCCAGGCGGUCUACUUAUUGCGUUAGCUGCGUCACAAAGCCCUCAAGGAGCCCUACGACUAGUAGACAUCGUUUACGGCGUGGACUAC